AGUGGAAUGAGUUGAUCUCUGCAACAGCCCCGAGGAACAUAGCUGAAGAAAAGUGGAAUGCACCACAAUUUAUGCCCUUCACUGAGGAUGUUCAAAAAAUGCAUCAGUUUCUCAGUCAAAAGCAUGAUGAGUACAUGAUGAAAAUUCUUCCACAAAGGCCUGGUCAGACCUGACAAAAGUAUGUUGGACACAGAUCAUCCUCUUUAAAAGACAAAGAGAAGGAGAGGUAGCAGCCAUGCCCUUGUUGGCUUUUUUGUCAAGAGACACAACUGAUCCUCAUGAAGAUGUUGACUGGGCACUCUCUGAAGUGGAAAAAAAACUGUGCAGAUAUUUUUCAAGGAUUGUCAUCAGGGGAAAACGAGGCAGACCUGUUCUUAUUCUCUUGACACCAAAAAUGGUGUGUGCAUUAGAACUUCUCGUUAAGUACAGGCAAACUUGUGGGGUUCUCAAAGACAACACUUACCUGUUUGCAAGACCCACAGCGAUGACGCAUUUACGUGGUUCUGACUGCAUACGAGACUAUGCAAAAGCAUGUCAUGCAAAGUGUCCUGUGUCACUUACAUCCACCAAAACAUGCUGCCACCCUUUCAACUGUGCUAAACAUGACAGACACAGAGAUGGACCAGCUGGACAACUUUCUUGGCCAUGAUAUCAGAAUCCAUCGUGAGUUCUAUAGACUCCCUGAAAAGACACUGCAGCUGGCAAAAAUCAGCAAAGUUUUGAUGGCACUCGAGCAAGGUCAUGGCAAGAACUUAGAUGAAAUCACAAUUGGUCCAAAUGGUAUGUUGUCAUCUUUGUUGUUUCCUUUGUCUAUAAUUUUUUUUCCAUCCUUUUGUUUGGUUUGAACCCAAUUAUAAGCUUAACAUGUUAUGUGUACCACAGAAUGUGUUGUGCAAACUGAAGAGGAAGAUCUGAUUCAUUCCCUGACAAUGGUCUGUAACGUCAAUACUCAUAUUUGUGGUUUAUUAAAGUGGCCUAUGGUAAGCAUGACACUGAAUGUUUAUAGCAUUGAACCCACAGAAGAGGUGGCCUUUCCAACCACUGAGGAUGAACAAAUCCCGCCCCCCAACAGACUGACGCAACUUUCAAAAUAAAGUGAUGGAUCAUCAUGACAACGUGCAGUGAGACAUUCUUCCAAUCAAAGUGUUGUGCAAACUGAAGAGGAAGAUCUUACCAGAGUGGACAAACACUAUUCAUUACCUGAUAAUGAAGAGGUGGCCUUUCCAACUACUGAGGAGGAAGCAAUCCCACCCCCCAACAGACGGACACAACUUUCAAAAAAAAAAAGGAGGUAUCAUCAGGAGAUCGUGCAGUGAGACAUUCUUCCAAAGGUAAAGCUGCCCAGAAAAGGCGACCCUGGACACAGAAAGAGGUGAAGGCUGUCGAGAAGCACAUGAAGCGAUUCAUCCCUUCUGGUAUUGUACCAAGAAAGAGUGACUGUUUAAAAUGUUUGAGGGCCGAACCGGAAGCUCUCCAAAACCGGGAAUGGCAAGCGUUGAAGUUCUAUGUGUACAACCGCAUUACGGCCUA